CACAAGAGACCCAAAUUAACUGUAAUACGGCGUAAAGAGUGGUACCAUGCUAUCAUAACAACUAAGAUUAAAAUGCAGCUAAGCUGUCAUAAGCAUAAGAUGCUCUUAAAGCCGCCCUCAAGACGAUCUUAGCACUCCCGAUCAAUUAAAUCCCACGAAAGCCAGGAUACAAACUGGGAUUAGAUACCCCACUAUGCCUAGCCCUAAAUCUUAAUACUUACUCUACUAAAGUAUUCGCCCGAGAACUACGAGCACAAACGCUUAAAACUCUAAGGACUUGGCGGUGCCCCAAACCCACCUAGAGGAGCCUGUUCUAUAAUCGAUAACCCACGAUACACCCAACCGCCCCUUGCCAAGGCAGCCUAUAUACCGCCGUCGCCAGUCCACCUCCCCUGAGAGCCCAACAGUGGACAUAAUAGCCCACCCGCUAGCAAGACAGGUCAAGGUAUAGCCCAUGGAGCGGAAGAAAUGGGCUACAUUUUCUAGAGUAGAAAACUUUUACGGAAAGGGAUGUGAAAUCGUCCCUGGAAGGCGGAUUUAGCAGUAAAGCGGGAUAAUACACGCCCUCUUUAAACCGGCCCUGGGGCACGUACAUACCGCCCGUCACCCUCCUCACAAGCUACAAGCAUCUAAUAACUAAUAUACUUACUAGCCAAAGAUGAGGUAAGUCGUAACAA
rnacentral:rRNA from 1 species